CAACAUUAACAGCUACCAGAGACGGAAGAGAUCAUUAAAGUUGGUUCAUUCUAGUUUAUACAAGGCUCUUACAGAGCUCUAUGCCAGUGUGCCCCAAAGAUUGGCGUUGCUCGGAAGCGAUUAGUGAACACAUGAAAUAUUCUCUUCUGAGUGUGAGAGAUGAAGUUUCCUUCACCUUGGGCUUAAUCAGUAUUAUCGGUUGGAGUGUAGCUGAGAUACCUCAAAUAAUCACUAAUUACAGGGAAAAGUCCGCAGAGGGCCUCUCUAUCACUUUCUUGCUGACAUGGAUACUUGGGGAUGUUUUCAACCUACUCGGCUGCUGGCUGGAACCGGCUACUCUUCCAACACAAUACUAUAUGGCAGUGUUAUAUGUAGUGACUUGCGGGAUCCUUAUUGCACAGGCCUUAUACUACGGCCACAUAUAUCAUCAACUGAAAUACAAUAGAAGUCAGCACAAGGAUCCAAAGCCUAACAAGUUGGUGGCACCAGUAGAAGUUAUACCGGGGGAUGGUGAAAUUGGUGGGAAACAAGUAAAUGACGCUGAGAGGAGUAAUGGGUCUGACACUUUUGGUGGAGAACACAUUUUGAGUUCACCUAUUCCUCUUCCAGAAAUUCCUCGAAGUGGUUCUCUUGAAAGAGAACUGUACUACACGUCAGCAAGAUAUCUAUCAAGGAGUCAUACUCCCACAGCAGGAUCUUUUCUAGCACAAAGAAUGAAUUAUGCAUCUCUUCAUGCUCAUAAUUCUAUUGAAGAGCCCUUGCUUCGUGGACUUGACUCCAGACAAUCUACUCCGCCACCAAGCAUCAAGACUACUCUUUGUGUGGUCUCUGUUAUGAAUUUUCUUGGUAUUUACAAUUUCCAUCGGUCAGCGGACAGCAAACUUUAUUCAGUGUUCAAAAGUCAAAAUGAAGGAGUUGUAAUACAAGUAGGCAGAAAGCUUUUGCAGGCAAGCAGAAUGGUAGGUGGUGGGCUGUUGCAAGAAAAUGAUUUUGAAGAAAGCCUGAGUAUUGGAAGUUUCCUUGGCUGGGGAAUGGCAGUUCUAUACAUGGGUGGAAGGCUUCCUCAGAUUUUCUUAAAUAUUAAAAGGGGCAAUGCUGAGGGGCUUAAUCCUUUCAUGUUCAUCUUUGCUUUGGUUGGAAAUGCAACUUACAUAGCCAGGCUAGUAUCAUCUAUCCUUAUUUGAUCAGUUUGUGCCUACUUACUUCGACUAAAGUACUACCUCUAUACUAGGGUGUUAGGUUGUGAGCUUUAACACAUUUCUCACAGGAGCAUUACUUGUCUUUUUGUGCAGCAUACUUGUAAGCAGCUUGGAUUGGUCAAGAAUUAAACCAAAUCUACCAUGGCUGGUGGAUGCAGGAGGAUGCUUACUUCUUGAUACAGUUAUACUAUAUCAAUUUUUCUACUUCCGUCAUUGGAAACCCAAAGAGAAUAAGUUUGGACACUACAAUGCCAGCUUAGAUGACAAAGGAAUAGUAUGAUUUUGAGGUAUUACAGUAAACCUACCCUUUGGACUAGAGAUUCAGGAGUCAUUGAAGACUUUGGUGGUUCGAGUUGGAGGACGUGGAAGUAGCUUAUUUUUGGAGUAUUGAUACAAAAAUACUAAUUUGGUGUAGUUGGUUUAUACAAU